AUUCAACCGAUGAGUCCCAAGUAGAACGAAGCACGCGUCCUGGAU
rnacentral:hammerhead_ribozyme from 1 species